rnacentral:tRNA from 1 species
GCUGAUACUGGCUCAGUUGGUAGAGCGCACCCUUGGUAAGGGUGAGGUCCCCAGUUCGACUCUGGGUAUCAGCACCA